rnacentral:rRNA from 1 species
UACGAAGGGGGCUAGCGUUGCUCGGAAUGACUGGGCGUAAAGGGCGCGUAGGCGGACAUCUUUGUCGGGCGUGAAAUUCCAGGGCUUAACCUUGGGGCUGCGUUCGAGACGGGGUGUCUUGAGUGGGGAAGAGGGUCGUGGAAUUCCCAGUGUAGAGGUGAAAUUCGUAGAUAUUGGGAAGGACACCGGUGGCGAAGGCGG